rnacentral:rRNA from 1 species
AGAGUUUGAUUCUGGCUCAGAACGAACGCUGGCAGCGUGGAUUAGGCAUGCAAGUCGAACGGGAAUCUUCGGAUUCAAUCUUUCGGGAGAGAAACCGGGGAGGAGAGUGGCGAAAGGGUGAGUAACGCGUGGAUAACCUGCCUCUUAGCUGGGGAUAACUGACCGAAAGGGCAGCUAAUACCGAAUGUGGUCAGGAUUUCAUCAAGGUAUCCUGAUUAAAGGUGGGGACCCUUCGGGGCCUGCCGCUAGGAGAGGGGUCCGCGUGCCAUCAGCUUGUUGGUGAGGUAAUGGCUCACCAAGGCUUACGGCUAGCUGGUCUGAGAGGAUGAUCAGCCACACUGGACUGAGACACUGCCCAGACUCCUACGGGAGGCUGCAGUCGAGGAUCGUUCGCAAUGCGCGAAAGCGUGACGAUGCGACGCUGCGUGGAGGAUGAAGGCCUUCGGGUUGUAAACUCCUGUCAUUCGGGAAAAACGAGCGGUCCGUUAAUAGCGGUCCGCAGUGAUGGUACCGGAAGAGGAAGCCACGGCUAACUCUGUGCCAGCAGCCGCGGUAAUACAGAGGUGGCAAGCGUUGUUCGGAUUUACUGGGCGUAAAGCGUGCGUAGGUGGUUUCGUAUGUCGGAUGUGAAAUCCCACGGCUCAACCGUGGAACUGCAUUCGAAACUGCGGGACUUGAGUGCAGGAGGGGAGAGCGGAAUUCUCGGUGUAGCGGUGAAAUGCGUUGAUAUCGAGAAGAACACCGGUGGCGAAGGCGGCUCUCUGGAAUGCAACUGACGCUGAGGCACGAAAGCUGGGGGAGCAAACAGGAUUAGAUACCCUGGUAGUCCCAGCCGUAAACGGUGUCGACUUGGUGUUGGAGGAUUUGACCCCUUCAGUGCCGGAGCUAACGCGUUAAGUCGACCGCCUGGGGAGUACGGCCGCAAGGCUAAAACUCAAAGAAAUUGACGGGGGCCCGCACAAGCGGAGGAGCAUGUGGCUUAAUUCGAUGCAACGCGAAGAACCUUACCUGGGCUUGACAUGUAACUGCAAGCUCCCCGAAAGGGGAGAAGCCUUCGAGGGUGUUACACAGGUGCUGCAUGGCUGUCGUCAGUUCGUGCCGUGAGGUGUUGGGUUAAGUCCCGCAACGAACGCAACCCCUGUGUUUAGUUGCUACCGGCGGUGAUGAGCCGCCGGGCACUCUAGACAGACUGCCUGUACAAGCAGGAGGAAGGUGGGGACGACGUCAAGUCAGUAUGGCCCUUACGCCCAGGGCUGCACACGUGCUACAAUGGCCGGUACAGAGGGCUGCAAUACCGCGAGGUGGAGCUAAUCCCCAAAACCGGCCCCAGUUCGGAUUGGAGUCUGCAACUCGACUCCAUGAAGUCGGAUUCGCUAGUAAUGGCGCAUCAGCUACGGCGCCGUGAAUACGUUCCCGGGCCUUGUACACACCGCCCGUCACAUCAUGAAAGCCGUCUGUACCCGAAGUCACUGAGCUAACCCGCAAGGGAGGCAGGUGCCGAAGGAAUGGGUGGUGAUUGGGAUGAAGUCGUAACAAGGUA